UGUACGGAGUGUGCCUUGUGCCUGGGCUACUUAUGGGGGCAUCUUGCAAUUGCUCUCAUCAGCAUCUUGCAGUUGCUCCAGGGGGCAUCUGCUGUGUCCCUCCUGGAUUUGAGGAGUGCGUUGGGGGUGUGUGUGAUUCUUCCUUUGGGGCUGUUUGGCAGCUGCAGCUGCUCUAGUCUUCUCUCUCCUUUUGGGCAUCAGGACAGAAUUCAGUUCCUUUGACGGUGCUGCAAUUGCCAGGAAAGGGUUAACUGAGGCUACCCAUCAGGGAGCAGCAAAGAGGGACUGCAGCUUGGAGCCCUCUGGUCUCCUUGGGUCACAUGCUUGCUCUGUCCACUCAUGACUGCUGUUGCCAUGGGCGGGGCUGGAGGACCAACAAUGCUAGCAAUGGCUGGAGAGAACCUGAAAAAGUUAAUCGUCUGUCACUCACACUCCCUGCCAGGUUUGCAGCAUGUGCCCGUCUGUUUGCUAUGAGGGAAGAGCAGGUUCUCCUGGUGCUGACAAGAAAAAAGGAUGUGGUGAGAUCUGAGCUGUGCUGCAGUGGUCAUCCAGUGAACAACCGAGUCCAGGACUGAGAAGAGAAAAGUACAUUCAGGGAUUGUGCAGGUACACAUAGGCAUAGCUUGUGAUGAUGUCAUCCACCCCAGUUCAAGAUGGCAGACGCAUGCAUGUUUGAGAUGGAAGUGGGCUAACUUGUGAAGAUGUGGAACGGGGAACUGAAUUUCAUCAAUGCAACAAGUGUGAUACCAGAAAUUCAUUGAAAGAAGAAAAUCGGAUUACAUAAGCAAACCAGAGGAGAGAAUGAGGACAUUUUUGAGGGAUAAAGGCAUUAGUCACUCAUCAGCAUCUUUCAUCUUUCUCCUCCUCUACCCUUGAUAAAGUCGCUCGUAUCCGUGCUGAUUUGGACUCCAGAGUUUUGGCAGUUCCAGCAGACAUGCCUCUGGUACCAUCUGGUCCUAUUGUGUUGGAUUCUUUUCCGUUGGUGCAGCCUAAGGAUGUGGACAAGAUCCUGGGCAGAGUGCGGGCAACAUUGUGCGCUCUUGACCCUUGCCCUUCAUAGCUAAUAAAAGCCACCAGGGAGGGAAUGGGCAGAUGGUUAGAGGUAAAUAUUAAUGCUUCAUUAAGGGAGGGCAGGAUGCCAUCAUGCCUCAAGGAGGUGAAGGUAAGUCCAUUAUUUAAAAAGCUCUCCCUUGAUCCCUCCAACCUGGGCAACUAUAGACCUGUCUCUAACCUUCCCUUUUGGGGCAAGGUGAUAGAGCGUGUGGUGGUGUCCCGGCUGCAAAGGGUCAUGGCUGAUACCGAUUAUCUAGACACUUUUCAAUCUGGCUUCCACCCAGAUAUGGGACUGAAACUGCUUUGGUCACUCUAGUGGAUGACCUAUGCUGGGAACUAGACGGGGGAGUGCAUCCCUGUUGGUUCUGCUGGACCUCUCAGCAGAAUUCGAUACCAUCACACAUGGUAUCCUUCUGGACUGCCUCUCGAGUAUGGGAAUCGGAGGUACUGCUUUGGAGUGGCUCUGGUCCUUUCUUGGGGGGAGGGUCCAGAAGGUGAUGUUGGGGUACUGUUGCUCAGCUCCAUGGCCAUUGGCCUGCGGAGUCCCACAGGGUUCGGUUUUGUCCCCCGUGUUGUUUAACAUCUACCUGAAACCGCUGGGAGAGAUCAUCCAGGGACUUGGACUGAGUUGUCAGCAAUAUGCAGAUGACACUCAGCUCUAUCUCUCCUUGUCUCCUGAUCCUAGGGGGGCAAUGAGUGUUCUGAAUUGGGGGCUGGAGGCCAUGAUGGGUUGGAUGUGGGCUAAUAAACUGAGACUGAAUCCAGACAAGAUGGAGAUAAUGUUGGUCAGUAGGAGAGUCAAUUGGGAUGAGGAGAUUCUACCGGUUCUGGAUGGGAUUGCACUCCCCUUAAAGGAGCAAGUACACAGCUUGGGGGUAUUGCUGGACCCGAUUCUGCUUUUGGAAGCUCACAUGGAGGCUGUGUCCAGGGGUGCCUUUGCACGGCUUUAGCUAGUGUGCCAGCUGUGUCCCUUUCUUGAGAAGGCAGAUCUAGCCACAAUUAUCCACACUUCAGUCACGUCACGACUGGAUUACUGUAACAUGCUCUACGUGGGGCUGCCCUUGAAGAAUAUUUGGAGACUGCAGCUAGUGCAAAAUGCAGCAGCUAGGAUUUUAUCUGUUGCUGCCCGCUGGGAUCACAUCACGCCCAUUUUGAAAGAGCUGCACUGAUUACCAAUUUGUUUCUAGGUCCAAUUCAAGGUGCUGGUUUUGACCUUUAAAGCCCUUAAUGGUUUGGGUCCUGGAUACCUGAGGGAACGCCUGCUCCCAAGGCCACUUGACAAGGUCAUCUGAGGGGACUCUGCUCCGAGUACUGACAAUGAGGGAGGCUCAGAUGUCGUGGGAAAGGGCCUUCACUGUUGCUGCCUCCAGACUCUGGAAUGCUCUCCCGGUGGCUAUUUGCUCCUUGAUCUACAUCACAGUUUUUAGAAAGCAUUUGAAAUCUUGGCUUUUUACCCAGGUUUUAAAUAUGAUUGUCUCUACUGCUGCUUCUUUGUAUUUUGUACGGUAAUUUUAUGCUUGUAUUUUAAAUCUUUUUAGUCAGAUCUAUGUUUUUAUAUUUUAGCUUAUAUUUUAAUUGUGUAUUUUUAUAGUCUUGUUUUAAUUUUUGUGUGAACCGCCUUGGGAUUGUUUUAAUGAAAGGCAGUAUAUAGAUUUAACAAUAAAUACAAUAAAUAAAUUUCUUCUUCCCCAAAAAAUUUAAGUGAGGAGGAGUUACUUCUCAAGCUUUGCACCCUUGAGUAAAGCCAUCAGUAAAGGCAAUUCUGCUGGACAGUACACCUACAAGAAGAAGACUUUGCCAAGUUCCAAAAGCACAGAUUAGUCUUUGAAUUAUAUUUUACUUAUAUUUUACCCAUCUGCAAGACAUGUAUUAUUUUAUAGCUCUUACACCUAAUUUCUCCAGGGCUGCUGCUGCUGCACACUAGAUGGGUCCCAUUUAACACAGAAGGAUGGACCAGCUUCCGAUUUGGAAGUCCAGGCAAGAUCCCUACCCUCCUACUUCAUUCUUCAAGCCUCAUGUCAGAUUUCACUGACCUGGUAGCCAAAGAGAGACUUGGCUGUCGAUUUCCAGAUAUCUUGUGCAAGGGAGUUUUAUUGGGAUCCUUUUCUCUUGCUGAGCUUCCAUGAAUAAUCACUGCAUGCUAGUGCUUGUAGGGAGAGGGUGAGCAACUACCAAUGCUAAGGCAGUUAGAAGGGGGCAAAUAAGAAAGUGGGACCAGAGUCUUUCCCCUCUGGUGCUGAAAUUCAGCCAGUUGAAGGAAGUAUCCUGUAAAAACAAAGGCCCCUAGAAAAGUCUUGCCAGUUAUCAAAAUUGCCCUGCCUCAUACCCUCACCAGGCCACUCACUGAUGCUUUUUGUGCCAUCUAUCAUGAGUGUAGCAUGGAUUUUGACAAAGGAAGGAACGAUUUUGUAAUUUUAGAGAAGUACCAAAUGUGCUUUCCCAGUGGGAGAGGAUCAGCUCCAAAAUCACACAGGGAUCAAGAGGGAAAGAGAUGGUUUGGGUUUUCUUUCUUUCUUUAAAAGUCAUAACCUCUAACUCGGGUGAAAGGAAUAGGACCCAAGAGCACAGCUGUGUGUGCAGCAGUAGCAAAACAGGGGCAGUAAGCAUGGCACAGUGAGGGGACCUUUAGGAGAGGUUGCAGAGAGGAAACAGAAGGAAACAGAGAAGGGCUUUGAAAAGGGCCUUGACUCCUGUUGCUUCAGGGAAGAGAGGAAGAAAAGACAAGCAAAUCUCCUCUGUGCAGAAGCCUGUCAUCUGCGGGACUGCUUUCAUCAUCACUUUCGGCAGACAUGCUACUUCAGUGCCGAGCAUUAACAUGCAAGGACAUGUGUAGUGAUCAGACUCCCCUCCCCCUAAAGAGUUAACAGGGAAUGGACUCUUGUCCUGACUGACAGGCUGAUGAACUCCAGGGAAACCAAUGAGAACACCAAGGGGGUGGGACCUAGACAGUGGUUGCUGGGAAUUCUGGAACAAGAAGGUUAUUAAUGUUUACUUGUAACAUAAUUAAAACAAGAAACACUAGCCUACACCCAUCCUACCUAGGAUGUUGUAUAUACACUAUAUAAACAUUUAAGCAUGCAUUAAGGCAACCUAUUUUUGUAACCCUACUAAGUAUUCUUAACUGUACCUAAAAGCUGAGAAAGCCUCAGACAGAAGAAGUCUGUAGCAAUUGAAUA